rnacentral:lncRNA from 1 species
GUUUUAUUUAUUUGUUACACCCAAUACCAACGAUGAAAUAACGCGCUAUCAAGUUGGUAGAUAUGUGAACUGAAAUGAAGCAAUUUGGCGUAUAUUUUCAUUCCCUAUUCACGAACGUCAUCCCACUGUUUUACAUUUGGGGGUGCAUCUAGAGAACGGUCAGAGAUUAUAUUUCACAGCGUCGAAUGCUGCUCAACGUGCCGAAACACCUCCAGCGACAACACUGACCAGUUUCCUUGCGAUUUGUCAAAGCGAUCCGUUCGCACGAACUUUGCUUUACUCAGAAAUGCCACGUUAUUACACUUGGAAUGCUACAUCGAAG